rnacentral:miRNA from 1 species
UAGUGAGCUUAAGCAAGUGACGUUUUUGACAACACUGACGGCACUUGUUGUGUUGUCAAAAACGUCACUUGCUUAAACUCACUA